rnacentral:lncRNA from 1 species
GCAGGCCAUACGGCAGGCAGUGAGGCGGGAACACCGUAUCUCGCAGGCCAUGCACUGUCCCCACGGUGAGGACACUGAGGCUUGAGGGUGGGGCCCGCUGGCUCCCAUAAGGCAGGGACAAGCGGGUCACAGGAUGGCGGCGGGGCACAAGCCAGCCCUGGCCAGCCUCCCCAGCUCCAUGUCCUACUGCCCACCCUGCGAGGAGGCUGGCACUGGGGGGCACAGCCACAGAUGCCAGCCCUGGGGACACAUGGGAAGCCAGGCCUGGCUCAGCCCCGGCCAGCGUGACAGGACAGGGGCUGCGGGAUCUCGCUCUGUCCCUGGACCCCGUCAGAGCUUCGGAUGGGAAGCCAGCAACAGGGCCUGGUGACCUCAGGCCAGCAUGGGGUAAGGGCAGCGGCCAAUGUGUGGGAGCGUGUCAUUCGGAUGAGGGGACAGAGCCUGAGGGGCUGGCUGUGUGGCUGGGACCCCGGCUCCAGCCCUGCCCUAGACUGGUGGUGCCCCUGGUCUAAGCACAUCCUUGGGACCUCAAGCAGGAAGGGGCAGGGACAUGGGCAGGUGGGGGACGCUGUGCCUUGACCCUGGCCACCACCUGGCAGAGGGAAAGAUCUGCUGGAGAGCUGGUGGGGACAAAGGUGCUGAGGAAGGGACUGAGCUUGCUGUCCUCGCAGGGCCGCACCGCUAUGACCUCACCCAAACAACCCUUCCUGAGCCUGAGACAACAGCAGGCCGGGCAGGAAGGGCAACGGCACACUGGAUCCCCCUGGACGCUCCUCCCACAGUCGGAGACUGAGGCCUGGGCUCCUGCUCCCCGGGGCCCGCUGCUGCGCACACUAACUCCGCUCUCCCCGCCUGUGACGGCAACGGUGACUGAAGACGCACAGCCCCACGCCACCCCGGGCGCCCUGGAGAAACACAGGCCUGGACAUGCAGGAUGGGGCCCAGACCCGCACCCCGGAGCUGCACACGCAGGAGGCUGGGGCCAGUGUGGCAAGACCACAGGCAGUGCCCUCUGCGUGGGUGCCCAUGAGUGACUACCACUAGGUCGAGUCCUGGGCCAUCACCGCCCAGGUGCGCACGGCCAGGGCCAGUCUGUAGACUCCGUACUGCGAGUCACAGGUGCCCCCUACAACUGCCAGUUAUCCCUGGGCCAGAAACUGGCCAUGAGAGAGCAAAGACUCAACUAACAUUAAAACAAAAACAAGCAGAGUGCAGUGGGGCAUGCCAGUCAUUGCAGUUACUCAGAAGGCUGAGGCAGGAGGAUCACAAGUUCCAGGCCAGCCUGGGUGGCUGAGGUAGACCCUAUCUCAAAGUAAACACUAAGAAAGGGCUGGGGCUGGGGCUCAGGGCUCUGCUUGAUCGCCAGCACUGGGGCAGGGAGCCCCCUGGUCCAGGCUGGGUAAACGCACUAGGGGCCGGGGGCAGCGCCGCUGGGCAGCCCCCCUUCCACAGAGGCCCAGUCCCCACCUCUCCCUUUCCUCCAAGGUCUGUGUUUGCACGGCUACGGAGUAGUUAGGAAGGAACCAAAAUGGAAGACACAGCUGGACGGCACUGGAGACAGCAGGUGCCUCACAGAACGGGACGGCCCAGGAGGGACAGCUCUAGGCAGGCCCAGUCCGGGCUGCUCUGUACCCGACAGGAUCUGGCCUGCUGCUGCCCCAGCCACUCUGUGCAGGGCAGGUGGGGCCCAGAGAUGGGGACAGGGGAGCCGGAG